GGUGCAAGCGUUAUCCGGAUUCACUGGGUUUAAAGGGUGCGUAGGUGGGCAAGUAAGUCAGUGGUGAAAUCUCCGGGCUUAACCCGGAAACUGCCAUUGAUACUAUUUGUCUUGAAUACUGUGGAGGUCAGCGGAAUAUGUCAUGUAGCGGUGAAAUGCUUAGAUAUGACAUAGAACACCAAUUGCGAAGGCAGCUGGCUACACAAAUAUUGACACUGAGGCACGAAAGCGUGGGGAUCAAACAGGAUUAGAUACCCUGGUAGUCCACGCCCUAAACUAUGGAUACUCGACAUUUGCGAUAAACUGCAAGUGUCUGAGCGAAAGCAUUAAGUAUCCCACCUGGGAAGUACGAUCGCAAGAUUG
rnacentral:rRNA from 1 species